CAAAAACCAACAGAAUUUAGUGAGAAGUAAGAUGAACGAGUGAGGAGUAAGAUCUGUCCUUUUAACUAAACAAAGGGAUUUGUUGGAUUUAUUUAGCUGUAAUGGUGGACACUGGAACUGGAGCUGGACUGGCAG